rnacentral:rRNA from 1 species
UACGUAGGGGGCAAGCGUUGUCCGGAUUUAUUGGGCGUAAAGAGCGUGUAGGCGGCCAUACAGGUCAGCUGUGAAAACUCGAGGCUCAACCUCGAGACGUCGGUUGAAACCGUAUGGCUAGAGUCCGGAAGAGGAGAGUGGAAUUCCCGGUGUAGCGGUGAAAUGCGCAGAUAUCGGGAAGAACACCCGUGGCGAAGGCGGCUCUCUGGGACGGUACUGGACGCUGAGACGCGAAAGCGUGGGGAGCGAACAGG